rnacentral:rRNA from 1 species
UCCUACGGGGGGCAGCAGUAGGGAAUCUUCCACAAUGGGCGAAAGCCUGAUGGAGCAACGCCGCGUGGGUGAAGAAGGUCUUCGGAUCGUAAAACCCUGUUGUUAGAGAAGAAAGUGCGUGAGAGUAACUGUUCACGUUUCGACGGUAUCUAACCAGAAAGCCACGGCUAACUACGUGCCAGCAGCCGCGGUAAUACGUAGGUGGCAAGCGUUAUCCGGAUUUAUUGGGCGUAAAGGGAACGCAGGCGGUCUUUUAAGUCAGCGGUCAAAGCCCGGGGCUCAACCCCGGCCCGCCGUUGAAACUG